rnacentral:rRNA from 1 species
UUUAUUGGCCAUAUCACCCUGCAACUCACAACUGGCAACCCACUGAAGCUAAGCAGGUGUGAGCCUGGUCAGUACCUGGAUGGGAGACCUCCUGGGGAAAACUAAGGCUUCUGGAAGAG